rnacentral:misc_RNA from 1 species
GUUUGUUUGUAUCCAAGAAACUUCGCGUUAAAGAAAAUGUAGUUAAUAACCCGUCGUGCAAGCCUCCCACUGGGGGCCAAUAUGCCAAAAGCGCGAAAAAAACCAUACUUUCCUUCCCUUUUUUCGCCCUCAUGUAGCCGGAGGGGGACACAGGGACAUAAAAAGGGGAACUAUCAAAACUUGUUCACAACAUUUCACAGGAGAUUCAAAUACAAACCACACACUUUCAAUACUAUCAACUUUACAUAGUUUCAUAGUAAAAAACACUUGUAAAAACAUAAGCUUUAAAUACUGUUUCAAAACACCUCUUUGGAUAGUUUUCCUUUUUUGGCCAUUGUACUGUUUUUGCCUAUUUUCCAAGGAUUGAUUUGAUCCACCAAAUUCCUUUG